GACGAACGCUGGCGGCGUGCCUAAUACAUGCAAGUUGAGCGCUGAAGGUUGGUACUUGUACCAACUGGAUGAGCAGCGAACGGGUGAGUAACGCGUGGGGAAUCUGCCUUUGAGCGGGGGACAACAUUUGGAAACGAAUGCUAAUACCGCAUAAAAACUUUAAACACAAGUUUUAAGUUUGAAAGAUGCAAUUGCAUCACUCAAAGAUGAUCCCGCGUUGUAUUAGCUAGUUGGUGAGGUAAAGGCUCACCAAGGCGAUGAUACAUAGCCGACCUGAGAGGGUGAUCGGCCACAUUGGGACUGAGACACGGCCCAAACUCCUACGGGAGGCAGCAGUAGGGAAUCUUCGGCAAGGGACGAAAGUCUGACCGAGCAACGCCGCGGGAGUGAAGAAGGGUUUCGGAUCGUAAAACUCUGUUGGUAGAGAAGAACGUUGGUGAGAGUGGAAAGCUCAUCAAGUGACGGUAACUACCCAGAAAGGGACGGCUAACUACGUG
rnacentral:rRNA from 1 species